UACGAAGGGGGCUAGCGUUGUUCGGAAUUACUGGGCGUAAAGCGCACGUAGGCGGAUACUUAAGUCAGGGGUGAAAUCCCGGGGCUCAACCCCGGAACUGCCUUUGAUACUGGGUAUCUCGAGUCCGGAAGAGGUGAGUGGAAUUCCGAGUGUAGAGGUGAAAUUCGUAGAUAUUCGGAGGAACACCAGUGGCGAAGGCGGCUCACUGGUCCGGUACUGACGCUGAGGUGCGAAAGCUAGGGGAGCAAACAGG
rnacentral:rRNA from 1 species